CUCUAACAACAAAUGUAGACUCUUUGCUCUUCAACGAGUAGAGUCGAUGAAGACCUCGACGAUCAAAAUGUUGCAAACAUCGAGGAGAUGUGACCCCUCACCUCAUCGAAAGCUAGAGACAUAGCACGUCUUUGGCAAAGCUGAAGUACUACCUUCAUCUGACCCAAUUCUUACUCAGACUCGAGAGUAGAGGGCCUAAUAUUUGAGGUAAUUUCAUCUUGACUAAAGAUGUAAAGCCCACAAGGAUUGACCCUCAU
rnacentral:lncRNA from 1 species